UUUACAUUUUACGUACCAUUUUCGUCUUUUUAUCCUUCCAAUAUAUUUUUAUCCUUUCAUUUUUCAAUUAGAACUAGGUUAGAUGUUGUUCGUAUAAUUUUGUCCCACGAUAGGAAUACGAAUGAAUAGUUACAAUCUGAAAAAGGGAACAAUAUGACUUUUCACGGAUAUUAUCAUAGGAACAGAGAGGAUGACGAGUAUUGAGGUAUUGCGCAUUUUCCAUUUUCCGUCAUUUCCUGCUCUAUACAGCAAAUUGCGAUUGAAUAAUGGACAUCGAGCAUCUAAUAAUUGCUGAAUAAAACCUGUAUUUUUCGCACAAUUACUGUACCUAUUAUACCGUGCUCGUAUCACGUAUGCAGUUUCACAGGUAGAAAAGAAAAGUAAAAAUCGAUUCUACUAUUCAAAUGACUAUCAGUAAUCGAAUACUAAAAACAUGCAGUAAAAUUCUCUUAAUAAGGAUUUAUUCGUAUCGCCAAAGUGAAGUUCACAAUAGAUUAAAUGUUCAUAAUAUAUAAAUAUGAUAUAUAUAUAUACAUAUUAAUAAAAAAAGAAGAGGAGUAAAAAAUAUCGUAAUUGUAAUGCUUUUGUUAACAUAGUUCAAACGUUUGCAUACAAACUGAUAUUUGUUAGAAACAGAGCAUCGGUCGUGCAAUGAAUAAACAUUUCGCGGCGUGAUCGUUAUUGUCGAAUGAUCACGUGAAUUAUAAACAAUCGUACAGUGAAAGCAGGCUAGAUCAGUUCGGCCAAUGUUAAAAAUUUCUUUACUGUUAUAGAUGAAACGUACUGGUAGAAAAAUGAUAACCCAGUGAUCGGAUUACGUUGUACGGGAAGUAAUUUGGUAUUUUUGACAGAGAAUCAACAUACCGAAAGUUAGCAUUUGGCUUAUAGAGCAUAUAUGUACCUCUAGCUACAUUUUCACUUUAUCUACAAUCAAUCGUUUCAAGCAACGGAUCAAUGCAUCCAACUAUUGUUAGCUUCGCAGACUGCGCGUUCGUUUUGAAAGUAUGUAAACACCAUAUUCUCCAAGACUAUUCGAUCAGUUCGAUUGCUUAUUAGAGUAGAAGUGAUUAAUGCGAGGAACAAUUUGUUUAAAUUAACUAUAUUGAUCAAUAAUUUCUUACUAUAUAUAGAUGUUAUUAAGUGGUUUAAUAAAGCGUACGUUAUUAACGUUAUAAAAGAAGUGUUAUGAAGGUCUCUAUCGCAAAGCGUUCUCGUUGCCUUGGUUUCUUUUUUAGCAAGACCACAAAAGAAAUUAUUUAAAAAAGAAUAAUAAAUCGUGUCAAAGAUUAUGAACAUUUCAAAUUAUGAAAUCAUCAGAAAAAUUUCACAACGGUUUAUAAAAUCUUUGGACGACAUUUGUAAAUAAAAGGUAAGCAAGUAAUAAAGCUUUUAUUGUCGAAAUGAAGCUGGUCAGUGUAACCGGGUUAAAAAUUCCUGUGAGUCCUUGUCAUCGUGUUUGAGAGCGGCUCGUCACGCGAACGAUGUCGGUUCGCCACUGUAUACCAAACUCUUAUGUAAGGCUCGUCAUGCGAAUACAUUUGUUUAUUUGGGUUAUUGCUUAGUUGUUUGUAGGGGCCGAUGUUUUUAGGAAAGCAACACGAGAUCCAUGCGCAACGAUACACACGAUUGUGCGCGUUAGCGCGGAAAUUGAAUUACCUUUGUGCGACUGCAGCGAUGAAAGCGAGGCCGGAUUGUACCAUCUUGCAAACGGUCUUCCAAUUAAACGUAGCUACGAAGUACAAUUUACACGUCAAAGGAUCUCGAUGCACAGUAAAGAAAGGAUAUUCGCUUUCAAUCACAAAUACGUUGAUCGAGAUUAAUUUGGAGGGAUUAGUUCGUUAACUAACGGAGCGACGAGAUGAUGGGAAUUUAAGAGUCCCAUUAGGAUGUUCUCUGAAAACUUGUUUGCAAUUUAAACCAUACUGUUCAAUAUUUCACCAAGAGCAGUGGUUCUUAAAAUUACCGGAUUAACCUUGAACCCAAAAUCGUCCGCAAUAUCCCGGCUGAUCCUCGAAGAAUACAAGCCGCAAACAAGAGAACGAAAGGUAUUAGGAGAAGAAAAGGAGUGUUCGAAAACAAGGUUAAAGACAAGCACGGUAAAAAAGGGGGAUAGAGAAAUGGAAUGAAAGAAGAAACGUAAGAAGAGAUGAAAAAUAAGUGAAAAAAAUGAGGAGUAAGAAGAGGGCUCUGCUCGUGUCUGAGGGCGACCCUCGGUGAAAAUGCAAUUUCGGUUCUUGUCUGGAGACGACGUAGCUACCAUGGCUCAUCUUCCUGGCGUCCGUACCUCCUUCAACAUUGUUGAAGGCACAGCCUCUCGUGCACACAGAAGUUCUUCUCUCUGGCAUGUUCCAGGAGAUGAAAGGCUCCCGUGGCUAUCAAAGGGAAAGGGAAGAGAGGUAAAGGCCCCACCCGACAAUGGCCCUGAGCUCCAAGGUUUUCAAGCUCGACGUCCAGGCCUCGGAGGACCAGUCGUGUGAUUUCAACCGGCCUGUCAACUUAUUCCCAUUUCAUCCGAUUUCGAUAAAUAUCACGAUUGUUUCGAUUUUCCAAUCAUCUAGAAUUUUCUCAAACAAAUUUGAAAAUACCAGAAAAUUCAAGUUUCCGCAUAUUAUAAAGCUAAUCGUUUAGAGUCUAGCAGAUACCACGGGGAAUUUUCUAUGUGUCUAGGAAAUGGAGGAAAAACGUCAGCGUAUUACUCACAGAGAGAAGCGUUUCCUCUUUUAACCGAUUACGAAACGAAGAAAGAAGGCGGUUCUAAAUUUACAUUGGUUCAUUUUGCAUCCUCGUCGACGAGGUGAACGCGCUCUUCGACCAGCGACAUCUCGCCAGAGAGCCAUCUUCGGCGACGAGAGAACUGGAACAAGGUGUACGAUGAAUUUUCUACGAGAUGUUUGAGAGCACUGCCAAUGAUUCAGCGUUUCUGACCGAUUGCCACGAGAGUGAGAGGGAGAGUAUCGAUAAUGCACGUGCCUCAUUUUACAUUGUUGCAUAUCUUGAUGGAGAACAUUCAAAGUUUCAUACUGCCUUCUUGGAAAUCAAUAAGAUUAGGUAGUGAGCACUUUCAGGUCUCCUUAAAUAACAAACUCAUUUCAUCUAUUUAAUGCUAUUAGAUAUAAAUGAUUAUAUGAUAUCUUAUUAAUUCCAGUUGGUAAUAUUCUUAAAAAUAAAGUAAAGGAUUAGGAAGAAGUUUAUGGAAGCCAGUCACAUACUCGAUAGCGUAGCUGUAGGCGCGAACCAGACAUAAUAAGGCAUUUGUAUGUUCAUCGUGAUUUUGAUAUUCGAGGUCCCGUCUUUUUAGCCAUGCUUUUAAAUCAAGGAUCGAGAAUAGCAAGAAGGUCGUUAACAAAAGGAAGCUUUAAACGAGCAACGUAAAAACAUUACGCUCGAAUCAGCGAGACAUCGUAAUUCAAUUAAAAAUGAAACAGAAAACAGUCGAUAACAGAGUACGUUAACAGAUUAAAAAGAAAUACGAUGAAAGCACGUGUACAGUAUACAGUGUACUACGUAUACGUCACGGGAGUAGAAAGAGAUG